rnacentral:rRNA from 1 species
CAAAGGAAGCGAUUCCGGCGGGGGAUGGACAUGCGGCGCAUUAGCUAGUCGGCGGGGUAACGGCCCACCGAGGCGACGAUGCGUAGGGGUUCUGAGAGGAAGGUCCCCCACACUGGUACUGAGACACGGACCAGACUCCUACGGGAGGCAGCAGUGAGGAAUAUUGGUCAAUGGGCGGGAGCCUGAACCAGCCAAGUCGCGUGAGGGAAGACGGUCCUAUGGAUUGUAAACCUCUUUUGCCGGGGAGCAACGGGGUCCUUGCGAGGGCCCAAUGAGAGUACCCGGAGAAAAAGCAUCGGCUAACUCCGUGCCAGCAGCCGCGGUAAUACGGAGGAUGCGAGCGUUAUCCGGAUUUAUUGGGUUUAAAGGGUGCGUAGGCGGGCUGUUAAGUCAGCGGUCAAAUGUCGGGGCUCAACCCCGGCCUGCCGUUGAAACUGGUGGCCUCGAGUGGGCGAGAAGUAUGCGGAAUGCGUGGUGUAGCGGUGAAAUGCAUAGAUAUCACGCAGAACUCCGAUUGCGAAGGCAGCAUACCGGCGCCCGACUGACGCUGAGGCACGAAAGCGUGGGUAUCGAACAGGAUUAGAUACCCUGGUAGUCCACGCAGUAAACGAUGAAUGCUAGCUGUCCGGGGCUUCGGU